rnacentral:rRNA from 1 species
UACAGAGGUCUCAAGCGUUGUUCGGAUUCAUUGGGCGUAAAGGGUGCGUAGGUGGUGCCGUAAGUCAGGUGUGAAAUUUCGGAGCUUAACUCCGAAACUGCAUUUGAUACUGCGGUGCUUGAGGACUGGAGAGGAGACUGGAAUUCACGGUGUAGCAGUGAAAUGCGUAGAUAUCGGGAGGAACACCUGUGGCGAAAGCGGCGCACUGGACCACAACUGACGCUGAGGCGCGAAAGCGUGGGGAGCAAACAGG